UACGGGGGGGGGCAAGCGUUGUCCGGAUUUAUUGGGCGUAAAGAGCGUGUAGGCGGCUUUACAGGUCCGUUGUGAAAACUCGAGGCUCAACCUCGAGACGCCGGUGGAAACCGUAAGGCUAGAGUCCGGAAGAGGAGAGUGGAAUUCCUGGUGUAGCGGUGAAAUGCGCAGAUAUCAGGAAGAACACCCGUGGCGAAGGCGGCUCUCUGGGACGGUACUGACGCUGAGACGCGAAAGCGUGGGGAGCGAACAGG
rnacentral:rRNA from 1 species